rnacentral:misc_RNA from 1 species
GAUGAAGAACGCAGCGAAAUGCGAUACGUAAUGUGAAUUGCAGAAUUCAGUGAAUCAUCGAGUCUUUGAACGCACAUUGCGCCCCCUGGUAUUCCGGGGGGCAUGCCUGUCCGAGCGUCAUUGCUGCCCUCAAGCACGGCUUGUGUGUUGGGCCUCCGUCCUCCUCCCGGGGGACGGGCCCGAAAGGCAGCGGCGGCACCGCGUCCGGUCCUCGAGCGUAUGGGGCUUCGUCACCCGCUCUUGUAGGCCCGGCCGGCGCUUGCCGACACAUCAAUCUUUUUUCCAGGUUGACCUCGAAUCAGGUAGGGAUACCCGCUGAACUUAAGCAUAUCAAUAAGCGGAGGA